CUCUCUCUCUCACACCGUGUCAAACACACACGUGUAUAGUAGUCCAUGGCUGCCGCUUCACUCACCAGCGCCUUAUCCCGCCUCUCUCUCUUCCGAUUCACGGCCAAACCCUCUCUUUCAUCUUCACUCCCAUUCUCCCUCACCCCCAAAACCAAGGAAUUGAAUCGAUUCCGGUUGUUCUCGAUGGCUUCGGAACCCAAGGAUUCGCCGGCCAACAAUCCCGGCCUCCAGGCAACCCCAGAUGAGGCCACCAAGGGUUACUUCAUGCAACAAACCAUGUUUCGAAUAAAGGAUCCUAAACUGAGCCUUGACUUCUAUUCUCGCGUCUUGGGCAUGUCGUUACUUAAGAGGCUGGAUUUCCCAGAGAUGAAGUUUAGCUUAUACUUUCUGGGCUAUGAGGAUCCAGCAUCUGCUCCAAGUAACUCAGUUGAUAGAACAGUUUGGACCUUCAGUAAGAAGGCUACAAUUGAGCUAACACAUAAUUGGGGGACUGAAAGCGAUCCUGAAUUUAAAGGAUACCACAAUGGAAAUUCAGAACCUCGUGGCUUUGGACAUAUUGGGAUCACUGUUGAUGACACACACAAGGCAUGUGAAAGAUUUGAACGCCUAGGAGUGGAAUUUGUAAAGAAACCAGAUGAUGGAAAAAUGAAAGGGAUAGCAUUUAUUAAGGAUCCUGAUGGCUAUUGGAUUGAGAUCUUUGACCUUAAAACUAUUGGCACCAUUACUGCCGGUGCUUCUUAAGAUAAUGCCACCAUGACUUCAGGAAAGUGGAAGGCUUCAGACGCCUUAUGUAAUCAUCUGUUUUCCCUUGAUGCACUCUGGAGGUACGCUUCAAUAAUGACAUUUCUUGGAAGAACUCGGUUCCUUGUAACUAUUUGCCAUUGGAGACUCUUUUGGGGGACUAUCAUGUUGAGAUUUGGAUAAGAUGAGGAUCAGGAGUGGGCACUAUGUUGAUUUUGGAUACGAAUGGAUCCUAAUAAUUAUUUUUUAAUUUGAAUCAUUGAGACGGGUUGAAUAUUGUAACCCAAUUUUAUUUGGGCUGAAUUCAGUCGUUGACGCUGGACAGCCUUACUUAUAAUACUUUAAAUAAUUUUACUGCAUUAAAUAAAUAUAAUGUGAAAAUUUUAUAUGGA